rnacentral:rRNA from 1 species
UGCAAGUCGAACGGAAAGGCCCUUUCGGGGGUACUCGAGUGGCGAACGGGUGAGUAACACGUGGGUGAUCUGCCCUGCACUUUGGGAUAAGCCUGGGAAACUGGGUCUAAUACCGAAUAUGAUCACGGGCUUCAUGGUCUGUGGUGGAAAGCUUUUGCGGUGUGGGAUGGGCCCGCGGCCUAUCAGCUUGUUGGUGGGGUAAUGGCCUACCAAGGCGACGACGGGUAGCCGGCCUGAGAGGGUGACCGGCCACACUGGGACUGAGAUACGGCCCAGACUCCUACGGGAGGCAGCAGUGGGGAAUAUUGCACAAUGGGCGCAAGCCUGAUGCAGCGACGCCGCGUGGGGGAUGACGGCCUUCGGGUUGUAAACCUCUUUCAGCAUCGACGAAGCGCAAGUGACGGUAGAUGCAGAAGAAGCACCGGCCAACUACGUGCCAGCAGCCGGCG